rnacentral:rRNA from 1 species
AAGUCGAGCGGUAAGGCCCUUCGGGGUACACGAGCGGCGAACGGGUGAGUAACACGUGGGUGACCUGCCCUCAGCUCUGGGAUAAGCCUGGGAAACCGGGUCUAAUACCGGAUAGGACCUGCUUCUGCAUGGGAGUGGGUGGAAAGUUUUUUCGGCUGGGGAUGGGCCCGCGGCCUAUCAGCUUGUUGGUGGGGUGAUGGCCUACCAAGGCGACGACGGGUAGCCGGCCUGAGAGGGCGACCGGCCACACUGGGACUGAGACACGGCCCAGACUCCUACGGGAGGCAGCAGUGGGGAAUAUUGCGCAAUGGGCGGAAGCCUGACGCAGCGACGCCGCGUGGGGGAUGACGGCCUUCGGGUUGUAAACCUCUUUCGCCAGGGACGAAGCGUAGGUGACGGUACCUGGAUAAGAAGCACCGGCCAACUACGUGCCAGCAGCCGCGGUAACACGUAGGGUGCGAGCGUUGUCCGGAAUUAUUGGGCGUAAAGAGCUCGUAGGCGGUGUGUCGCGUCGGCCGUGAAAACCUGGGGCUUAACUCUGGGCUUGCGGUCGAUACGGGCAUCACUGGAGUUCGGCAGGGGAGACUGGAAUUCCUGGUGUAGCGGUGAAAUGCGCAGAUAUCAGGAGGAACACCGGUGGCGAAGGCGGG